CAGAAGUACAAAAUGACACAGAGCUGAACCAGGACUGGGGACAAGGAAAAGUAACUGUCAUGUGCGAGAGGGAGCUCUUGAGAAAUGCCUCUUAUUAAAUUACCUGAUGGCUCCAUCAUGUAGAGGCCUGAACUGGGUGAAAGCUUACCUGCAACAAUGCCUCCUGAAAUAAAACACCCUCAUGUUCAUCUGUCCCAGGAUUAGACAACCGGGGGAUCCCAAUGAUCUGACCUUCCCGUGUCCAUGAUGACCAGCUGGCUGUUGAUAACAGUGGUUACGUGACCCUGAGCUUGAUGAUUCACCUGGCAGAAACAGCAAACAGGAGAUUCUUCCACUUGCCAUCAACAAGGGGUAACCAAGAGUAACGCUGUACUUAGUUGAUCAUAUUCUCAGCCUACUGACCCGAAGGGAGGGAACUGUUAAAGUUAAAUACAAAAUGGGGAGCGGACUUGAAAAUUCCCUGAGUGGAAGAAAACCUUUUAAGCCACACAAGCGAAACUUAAUUUCGAUUAUUCUGCAAAAUAACUGAAAGUGAACUUGGGCCACUUCUUGUAAUUGCCAGAUAAUCAUGAAAACAAAAACAAAAACAAAAAACAAACAAAAAACCCCUUAUGUCCUCUUUAUAAAAAUGAUGUGAGAUAGCUACUUUUAACUAAUCCCUUGCAAUCUGGGAACUCUCAUGGUAAUAACCAGUCACUGGAAAUGUUAAAACAGCUUGCCCACUUUCACUGCAUUAACCACCGUGUACGUCAGGCC